CCACGUAAAAAUAAUCCGGAUCGCAGUAGGCGAUAGUGGAGGAGCUUAUUCGUGUUCUAAUUAAAGUGAUUCAAACUGUUUGACUGCGUUCAAGAUACUAACCACUGUUAUUACAAACAGACACACAUUUACCAAAGAAAACUACAUGCUAUUCAAAACAAAAACAUGUAUUGUAGGACGUAUGACAUGCCAAGCAUGAAACUAAUAGCCUUAGAGUACCAACAAGAACAACUGUAUUAGAUGCACAGGGCAUUUUAUUCAUAAUCCAUUUCAAAUCUAUGAUGUCGCUAUCACCAUUGGAAUUGCUUCUGAAUUGGCCGUGAAGAAGAAUUGUAAGAUAAUGAACUGCUUCAGAGAUAUUCCGUCACUACCCUUCUCGUUAAAUCUACUCAAAUUUACCUUUUAUUUGAUCUGGUACUUCGUAGUUUUUAUAGAUAUAUUUUAUUAUUUAAUGUGCGGUUGCCACAAUUGUAGUGAAGUAAUUCCGGAAAAUGUUCUGGCUGACGAAUUAUUGACAACAACAUCAAUGUGGGACAAUUUCCUGAUCUUAUCAACGGUAGUUAAGGGAAAUUAUUGUUGCGAACACUGCCACUCUCUCUACAGAGUCCGAAUCUGGAGGAAUUUACCAAUUAUUGGGAACUGGAUUUGUGACAUUACUUUAGCUUUCCAUUUACUAUAAACUGUACAAUAAUAAACAGGAUUAUUUCAUCAUUGCUAAAGGUCUCAUGCCGUCACUGUUAAGUUGCUCACAUUCAUCAGAAACACCGAAAUAAUCUGAUUGUAUUUCACAGACUGACUCAUAUGUUUGGCCGAUCGACAACGCACGCAUGAAACCUUUAGGUGUGAGGAAAUAUUCUGUUUAGCAACACACAAUCAAAACAGACUGUACACACUUCUAACAUUGACAUGUAUUGAACAGUUUGCAAUUUUUCACAAAACACAAAACUGGUACCAUUUAUAUCGACAUAUAUAAUGUGUAUAUAUACAGGACAAAUUAUGUGCACACAAGAAGGUGAAAGGAGAGAACUUAACACAAAAUUCAGAGUAUAUGUUAUAUUAUGGGAAGCUGAAACCACCACAAAUUGUAACUCCAAUUUACUAGUUUCCAAUCUCUGGAAGAUUAUAACUGCUAGAACACACAAAACCAAUAUAUAUGUACAUACACUCACAUACAUAUAUACAUAUGCAUCUGACAGAAAAAUAUGAUUCAAAUAUUCAAAUGUAACGUGUAGAUUUUGUUUGAUUGGACAAUGGAAAAAUACCCAUCAUGCAUUGCUUUGUUAGAUCCUGUGCGGUUUAAAUAUGUUGAGAUGAGAACAAAAGUGAAUGGAGGGCGUGAGUUUUAUAUAAUGUACAGGAAUGGAAUAUGAAUAAAAUAAAAAUAAUCUUUAA